GGGUUGUGAGGUUAAGCGACUAAGCGUACACGGUGGAUGCCCUGGCAGUCAGAGGCGAUGAAGGACGUGCUAAUCUGCGAUAAGCGUCGGUAAGGUGAUAUGAACCGUUAUAACCGGCGAUUUCCGAAUGGGGAAACCCAGUGUGUUUCGACACACUAUCAUUAACUGAAUCCAUAGGUUAAUGAGGCGAACCGGGGGAACUGAAACAUCUAAGUACCCCGAGGAAAAGAAAUCAACCGAGAUUCCCCCAGUAGCGGCGAGCGAACGGGGAGCAGCCCAGAGCCUGAAUCAGUGUGUGUGUUAGUGGAAGCGUCUGGAAAGGCGCGCGAUACAGGGUGACAGCCCCGUACACAAAAAUGCACAUGCUGUGAGCUCGAUGAGUAGGGCGGGACACGUGGUAUCCUGUCUGAAUAUGGGGGGACCAUCCUCCAAGGCUAAAUACUCCUGACUGACCGAUAGUGAACCAGUACCGUGAGGGAAAGGCGAAAAGAACCCCGGCGAGGGGAGUGAAAAAGAACCUGAAACCGUGUACGUACAAGCAGUGGGAGCACGCUUAGGCGUGUGACUGCGUACCUUUUGUAUAAUGGGUCAGCGACUUAUAUUCUGUAGCAAGGUUAACCGAAUAGGGGAGCCGAAGGGAAACCGAGUCUUAACUGGGCGUUAAGUUGCAGGGUAUAGACCCGAAACCCGGUGAUCUAGCCAUGGGCAGGUUGAAGGUUGGGUAACACUAACUGGAGGACCGAACCGACUAAUGUUGAAAAAUUAGCGGAUGACUUGUGGCUGGGGGUGAAAGGCCAAUCAAACCGGGAGAUAGCUGGUUCUCCCCGAAAGCUAUUUAGGUAGCGCCUCGUGAAUUCAUCUCCGGGGGUAGAGCACUGUUUCGGCAAGGGGGUCAUCCCGACUUACCAACCCGAUGCAAACUGCGAAUACCGGAGAAUGUUAUCACGGGAGACACACGGCGGGUGCUAACGUCCGUCGUGAAGAGGGAAACAACCCAGACCGCCAGCUAAGGUCCCAAAGUCAUGGUUAAGUGGGAAACGAUGUGGGAAGGCCCAGACAGCCAGGAUGUUGGCUUAGAAGCAGCCAUCAUUUAAAGAAAGCGUAAUAGCUCACUGGUCGAGUCGGCCUGCGCGGAAGAUGUAACGGGGCUAAACCAUGCACCGAAGCUGCGGCAGCGACACUAUGUGUUGUUGGGUAGGGGAGCGUUCUGUAAGCCUGUGAAGGUGUGCUGUGAGGCAUGCUGGAGGUAUCAGAAGUGCGAAUGCUGACAUAAGUAACGAUAAAGCGGGUGAAAAGCCCGCUCGCCGGAAGACCAAGGGUUCCUGUCCAACGUUAAUCGGGGCAGGGUGAGUCGACCCCUAAGGCGAGGCCGAAAGGCGUAGUCGAUGGGAAACAGGUUAAUAUUCCUGUACUUGGUGUUACUGCGAAGGGGGGACGGAGAAGGCUAUGUUGGCCGGGCGACGGUUGUCCCGGUUUAAGCGUGUAGGCUGGUUUUCCAGGCAAAUCCGGAAAAUCAAGGCUGAGGCGUGAUGACGAGGCACUACGGUGCUGAAGCAACAAAUGCCCUGCUUCCAGGAAAAGCCUCUAAGCAUCAGGUAACAUCAAAUCGUACCCCAAACCGACACAGGUGGUCAGGUAGAGAAUACCAAGGCGCUUGAGAGAACUCGGGUGAAGGAACUAGGCAAAAUGGUGCCGUAACUUCGGGAGAAGGCACGCUGAUAUGUAGGUGAAGUCCCUCGCGGAUGGAGCUGAAAUCAGUCGAAGAUACCAGCUGGCUGCAACUGUUUAUUAAAAACACAGCACUGUGCAAACACGAAAGUGGACGUAUACGGUGUGACGCCUGCCCGGUGCCGGAAGGUUAAUUGAUGGGGUUAGCCGCAAGGCGAAGCUCUUGAUCGAAGCCCCGGUAAACGGCGGCCGUAACUAUAACGGUCCUAAGGUAGCGAAAUUCCUUGUCGGGUAAGUUCCGACCUGCACGAAUGGCGUAAUGAUGGCCAGGCUGUCUCCACCCGAGACUCAGUGAAAUUGAACUCGCUGUGAAGAUGCAGUGUACCCGCGGCAAGACGGAAAGACCCCGUGAACCUUUACUAUAGCUUGACACUGAACAUUGAGCCUUGAUGUGUAGGAUAGGUGGGAGGCUUAGAAGUGUGGACGCCAGUCUGCAUGGAGCCGACCUUGAAAUACCACCCUUUAAUGUUUGAUGUUCUAACGUUGACCCGUAAUCCGGGUUGCGGACAGUGUCUGGUGGGUAGUUUGACUGGGGCGGUCUCCUCCUAAAGAGUAACGGAGGAGCACGAAGGUUGGCUAAUCCUGGUCGGACAUCAGGAGGUUAGUGCAAUGGCAUAAGCCAGCUUGACUGCGAGCGUGACGGCGCGAGCAGGUGCGAAAGCAGGUCAUAGUGAUCCGGUGGUUCUGAAUGGAAGGGCCAUCGCUCAACGGAUAAAAGGUACUCCGGGGAUAACAGGCUGAUACCGCCCAAGAGUUCAUAUCGACGGCGGUGUUUGGCACCUCGAUGUCGGCUCAUCACAUCCUGGGGCUGAAGUAGGUCCCAAGGGUAUGGCUGUUCGCCAUUUAAAGUGGUACGCGAGCUGGGUUUAGAACGUCGUGAGACAGUUCGGUCCCUAUCUGCCGUGGGCGCUGGAGAACUGAGGGGGGCUGCUCCUAGUACGAGAGGACCGGAGUGGACGCAUCACUGGUGUUCGGGUUGUCAUGCCAAUGGCACUGCCCGGUAGCUAAAUGCGGAAGAGAUAAGUGCUGAAAGCAUCUAAGCACGAAACUUGCCCCGAGAUGAGUUCUCCCUGACUCCUUGAGAGUCCUGAAGGAACGUUGAAGACGACGACGUUGAUAGGCCGGGUGUGUAAGCGCAGCGAU
rnacentral:rRNA from 1 species